rnacentral:rRNA from 1 species
UUUUUAAAUUGCUGUAGUAUUUUGACUAUACAAAGGUAUUGAAAUAAGACUUUAAUUGAGUGCUAAGAGAAUGGAAAUACAGAAAAAGUCUUUUUUAAACUUAAAAAUUUAAGUUAAUUUUAUUUGUGAAGAAGCAAUAAUAACAAUUAAGGACAAGAAGACCCUAAGAAUUUUAAAAAAUUAUUUUUAAAUUAAAAAAAUUAAUUUUUUUAAUUGGGGCGAUUAAUAAAUAUAAUAAAACUUUAUUUAAACAAUAAAAUGAACCAAUAAUAUUGGUUGAAUGCAAAAAUACUCUAGGGAUAACAGCGUAAUAAUUUUAGAUAGUUCUUAUAGACAAAAUAGUUUGCGACCUCGAUGUUGGAUUAGGAUUCUUUUUUAAUGAAGAAGUUAAAAAAAGAAGUUUGUUCAACUUUUAAAUUCCUACUUGAUCUGA